ACGAACGCUGGCGGCGUGGAUAAGACAUGCAAGUCGAGCGGGAUAUUUCGGGGUAGCAAUAUUCGGAAUGUUCAGCGGCGCAAGGGUGCGUAACACGUGGGUAAUUUGCCGUGAAGUCUGGAACAACUUGCUGAAAGGCGAGCUAAUACCGGAUGUGAUUUUCAGGAGGCAUCUUCUGAAACUCAAAGUCGGGGACCGUAAGGCCUGACGCUUCACGAUAAGCCCGCGGCCUAUCAGCUAGUUGGUGAGGUAACGGCUCACCAAGGCUAAGAACGGGUAGCUGGUCUAAGAGGACGGUCGGACACACUGACACUGAAUAACGGGUCAGACUCCUACGGGAGGCAGCAGUCGGGAAUUUUGGGCAAUGGGCGAAAGCCUGACCCAGCAACGCCGCGUGAGGGAUGAAGUAUUUCGGUAUGUAAACCUCGAAAGAAUGGGAAGAAAUAAAUGACGGUACCAUUAUAAGCCCCGGCUAACUACGUGCCAGCAGCCGCGGUAAUACGUAGGGGGCAAGCGUUGUUCGGAUUUACUGGGCGUAAAGGGCGCGUAGGCGGCAAUUCAAGUCAGCUGUGAAAUCUCCGGGCUUAACUCGGAACGGUCAGCUGAUAACUGCUUUGCUAGAGUGCAAGAAGGGGCAAUCGGAAUUCUUGGUGUAGCGGUGAAAUGCGUAGAUAUCAAGAGGAACACCUGAGGUGAAGACGGGUUGCUGGGGCUGACACUGACGCUGAGGCGCGAAGCCAGGGGAGCAAACGGGAUUAGAUACCCCGGUAGUCCUGGCCCUAAACGAUGGAUACUUGGUGUCUGGAGUUAUUAUCGCUCCGGGUGCCGUCGCUAACGUUUUUAGUAUCCCGCCUGGAGGAGUACGCACGCAAGUGUGAAACUCAAAGGAAUUGACGGGGACCCGCACAAGCGGUGGAGCAUGUGGUUUAAUUCGACGCAACGCGAAGAACCUUACUAGCUAGAAUGUGAGGGAAUUUCGGGUAAUGCCGAAAGUCCGGGAAACCGGACCCAAAACAAGGUGCUGCAUGGCUGUCGUCAGCUCGUGUCGUGAGAUGUUGGGUUAAGUCCCGCAACGAGCGCAACCCUUAACUUCAGUGCCAUCAUUAAGUUGGGAACUCUGGAGUGAACUGCCGUUGAUAAAACGGAGGAAGGUGGGGAUGAUGUCAAGUCAUCAUGGCCUUUAUGCUUAGGGCUACACACGUGCUACAAUGGUCGGUACAAAACGUCGCAAUCUCGUAAGAGGGAGCUAAUCGCUAAAACCGAUCUCAGUUCGGAUUGAAGUCUGCAACUCGACUUCAUGAAGUUGGAAUCGCUAGUAAUCGCAGAUCAAGCAUGCUGCGGUGAAUACGUUCCCGGGUCUUGCACACACCGCCCGUCACAUAACGAAAGUAGGUUGUACUAGAAGUGGCCGGGCCAACCCGCAAGGGGGGCAGGUUACCACGGUAUGAUCUAUGAUUGGGUGA
rnacentral:rRNA from 1 species